rnacentral:tRNA from 1 species
GCAGUGGUGGUUCACUGAUAGAAUUCUUACCUUCCAUGCAGAAGAUCUGGGUUUGAUUCCUAGCCAUUGCA